CCUGGCUCAGGAUGAACGCUAGCUACAGGCUUAACACAUGCAAGUCGCGGGCAGCAUGUCGGUUGCUUGCAACCGAUGAUGGCGACCGGCGCACGGGUGAGUAACGCGUAUCCAACCUGCCCCUUCACCACGGGAAUAAUCCAGUGAAAAAUUGGUCUAAUACCGUAUGAGGUCAUACGAUGGCAUCCAACUGUGACGAAAGGCUUAGCGGACAAGGAUGGGGAUGCGUCCGAUUAGCUUGACGGCGGGGUAACGGCCCACCGUGGCUACGAUCGGUAGGGGUUCUGAGAGGAAGGUCCCCCACAUUGGAACUGAGACACGGUCCAAACUCCUACGGGAGGCAGCAGUGAGGAAUAUUGGUCAAUGGACGGGAGUCUGAACCAGCCAAGUAGCGUGCAGGAUGACGGCCCUAUGGGUUGUAAACUGCUUUUAUAGGGGGAUAAAGUGUGCCACGUGUGGCAUAUUGCAGGUACCCUAUGAAUAAGGACCGGCUAAUUCCGUG
rnacentral:rRNA from 1 species